GUUAUUUUCAUUACAGCAAGGGCGAAUAUGAGACAAGCAUUCCAGGAUAUACAAACACACUGUUACACAUGAUGGAUUUAUGGGAGAACACAUCAAAUAAUCCACGAGCUGUGAAUUAUAAAUAUGGAUGACUGCAAAAGCAAAGAAGAAGAUAAUGAAACAAACUGAAAAAAGUGUACACGUUUCCAGAAUUAUUAAUAAAAUUGUUGAUUACAAGUC